UGGUGGAGUGAUUUGUCUGGUUAAUUCCGUUAACGAACGAGACCUCGGCCUGCUAAAUAGUUUGCUAUAGUCUUCGGACUAUGGAAAAACUUCUUAGAGGGACUAUCGGUUUCUAAGCCGAUGGAAGUUCGAGGCAAUAACA
rnacentral:rRNA from 1 species